GGGGCUAUGCAUGAUAGAGAUAUUAAUGCAGCACGGAACAUUCUCGCGGCAGGACAUUGCCGCCUCGCUGGAGGAAUCCUCGCCCUUUAGGGCGGGGAGGAUGUCAAGGCUGCCAGUGC
rnacentral:misc_RNA from 1 species